UACGGAGGGUGCGAGCGUUAAUCGGAAUUACUGGGCGUAAAGCGCAUGCAGGUGGAUGAUUAAAGUCAGAUGUGAAAGCCCGGGGCUCAACCUCGGAAUAGCAUUUGAAACUGGUCAUCUAGAGUACUGUAGAGGGGGGUAGAAUUUCAGGUGUAGCGGUGAAAUGCGUAGAGAUCUGAAGGAAUACCGGUGGCGAAGGCGGCCCCCUGGACAGAUACUGACACUCAGAUGCGAAAGCGUGGGGAGCAAACAGG
rnacentral:rRNA from 1 species